rnacentral:rRNA from 1 species
AGAGUUUGAUCCUGGCUCAGAGUGAACGCUGGCGGCAUGCCUUACACAUGCAAGUCGAACGGUAACAGGUUAAGCUGACGAGUGGCGAACGGGUGAGUAAUGUAUCGGAACGUGCCCAGUCGUGGGGGAUAACUGCUCGAAAGAGCAGCUAAUACCGCAUACGACCUGAGGGUGAAAGCGGGGGAUCGCAAGACCUCGCGCGAUUGGAGCGGCCGAUAUCAGAUUAGGUAGUUGGUGAGGUAAAGGCUCACCAAGCCGACGAUCUGUAGCUGGUCUGAGAGGACGACCAGCCACACUGGGACUGAGACACGGCCCAGACUCCUACGGGAGGCAGCAGAAGGG